UACGUAGGGGCCGAGCGUUGUCCGGAGUUAUUGGGCGUAAAGCGCGCGCAGGCGGCCUCGCGCGCCCGACGUGAAAGCCCCGGCUUAACCGGGGAGGGUCGUUGGGGACGGCGGGGCUUGAGGGCGGGAGAGGUCGGUGGAAUUCCCGGUGUAGCGGUGAAAUGCGUAGAUAUCGAGAGGAACACCUGCGGCGAAGGCGGGUGCUGGGCUGACACUGACGCUGAAGUGCGAAAGCUAGGGGAGCGAACGGG
rnacentral:rRNA from 1 species